rnacentral:rRNA from 1 species
UACGGAGGGUGCAAGCGUUAUCCGGAUUCACUGGGUUUAAAGGGUGUGUAGGCGGGUAUUUAAGUCAGUGGUGAAAUCUCCGGGCUCAACCCGGAAACUGCCAUUGAUACUAUUUAUCUUGAAUACUGUUGAGGUAGGCGGAAUAUGUCAUGUAGCGGUGAAAUGCAUAGAUAUGUCACAGAACACCAAUUGCGAAGGCAGCUUACUAUGGUUAAAUUGACACUGAGGCACGAAAGCGUGGGGAUCAAACAGG